rnacentral:ribozyme from 13 species
AGAAAGAUAUAAACUGAUCAAAGCAAAACUAGGAGAAGAAUUCCCCAUUUUUUCCCAAAAUUGAACAGCAAAAUCAAUUUCUUUUCUCCAUUCUCUCUCGCUUUUCUUUUCUUCCUCUUUUUCUCCUUUUUCUUUUUUCCAAAACUUCGAAAUGUCUGCAAAAGAUUCUUCUAAAGUUUCCAAAGGAGAGACAAGA